UAUAUUUGCGCCGCUGAUAGAGCAUACAUAAUAAUCAUUUAAAUAAUAUUGGAAUG
rnacentral:ncRNA from 1 species